rnacentral:rRNA from 1 species
UACAGAGGUCUCAAGCGUUGUUCGGAUUCAUUGGGCGUAAAGGGUGCGUAGGCGGCCGGGUAAGUCUGUUGUGAAAUCUCCAAGCUUAACUUGGAAACUGCAGUGGAUACUAUCCGGCUAGAGGAAUGGAGGGGAGACUGGAAUACUUGGUGUAGCAGUGAAAUGCGUAGAUAUCAAGUGGAACACCAGUGGCGAAGGCGAGUCUCUGGACAUUUCCUGACGCUGAGGCACGAAAGCCAGGGGAGCAAACGGG